AAAGGAGAUUAAUUUAAAUCCCG
rnacentral:snRNA from 1 species